GAUGAAGAACGCAGCGAAAUGCGAUAAGUAAUGUGAAUUGCAGAAUUCAGUGAAUCAUCGAAUCUUUGAACGCACAUUGCGCCCGCCAGUAUUCUGGCGGGCAUGCCUGUUCGAGCGUCAUUUCAACCAUCAAGCCCCAGGCUUGUUUUGGGGACCUGCGGCUGCCGCAGGCCCUGAAAACCAGUGGCGGGCUCGCUGUCACACCGGGCGUAGUAGAUUUUAUCUCGCUCAGGGCGUGCUGCGGGUCCCGGCCGUUAAAAGCCUUUUUUUACCCAAGGUUGACCUCGGAUCAGGUAGGAAGACCCGCUGAACUUAAGCAUAUCAAUAAGCGGAGGA
rnacentral:misc_RNA from 1 species